GCGUUAAUCGGAAUUACUGGGCGUAAAGCGAGCGCAGACGGUUACUUAAGCAGGAUGUGAAAUCCCCGGGCUCAACCUGGGAACUGCGUUCUGAACUGGGUGACUAGAGUGUGUCAGAGGGAGGUAGAAUUCCACGUGUAGCAGUGAAAUGCGUAGAGAUGUGGAGGAAUACCGAUGGCGAAGGCAGCCUCCUGGGAUAACACUGACGUUCAUGCUCGAAAGCGUGGGUAGCAAACAGGAUUAGAUACCCUGGUAGUCCACGCCCUAAACGAUGUCAAUUAGCUGUUGGGCAACUUGAUUGCUUAGUAGCGUAGCUAACGCGUGAAAUUGACCGCCUGGGGAGUACGGUCGCAAGAUUAAAACUCAAAGGAAUUGACGGGGACCCGCACAAGCGGUGGAUGAUGUGGAUUAAUUCGAUGCAACGCGAAGAACCUUACCUGG
rnacentral:rRNA from 1 species